rnacentral:rRNA from 1 species
AUUGAACGCUGGCGGCAUGCCUUACACAUGCAAGUCGAACGGCAGCGGGGGAGAAGCUUGCUUUUCCUGCCGGCGAGUGGCGAACGGGUGAGUAAUACAUCGGAACGUGCCCUGUAGUGGGGGAUAACGAGUCGAAAGAUUAGCUAAUACCGCAUACGACCUGAGGGUGAAGGUGGGGGACCGCAAGGCCUCAUGCUAUAGGAGCGGCCGAUGUCUGAUUAGCUAGUUGGUGGGGUAAAGGCCUACCAAGGCGACGAUCAGUAGCUGGUCUGAGAGGACGAUCAGCCACACUGGGACUGAGACACGGCCCAGACUCCUACGGGAGGCAGCAGUGGGGAAUUUUGGACAAUGGGCGAAAGCCUGAUCCAGCAAUGCCGCGUGUGUGAAGAAGGCCUUCGGGUUGUAAAGCACUUUUGUCCGGAAAGAAAUGGCUCUGGUUAAUACCUGGGGUCGAUGACGGUACCGGAAGAAUAAGGACCGGCUAACUACGUGCCAGCCGCCGCCGUAACAC